rnacentral:rRNA from 1 species
AGCUCCAACAGCGUAUAUUAAAGUUGUUGCAGUUAAAAAGCUCGUAGUUGAAUUUUGGGCGAGGUUAAUCGGUCUGCCGAAAGGUACGUACUGAACUGCCUUGUCUUUCCUUCUGUGGACCUUUGUCUUUUGGCAUGGGGCAAACAGGACUUUUACUUUGAAAAAAUUAGAGUGUUUAAAGCAGGCUUACGCUUGAAUACAUUAGCAUGGAAUAAUGAAAUAGGACUUUGGUACUAUUUUGUUGGUUUUCAGGACCAAAGUAAUGAUUAAUAGGGAUAGUUGGGGGCAUUAGUAUUGCGGAGUCAGAGGUGAAAUUCUUGGAUUUCCGCAAGACUAACAACUGCGAAAGCAUUUGCCAAGGAUGUUUUCA